CUUUUUAGGGCCACACCCACAGCAUGUGGAGGUUCCCAGGCUAGGGGUCUAAUCAGAGCUGUAGCUGAUGGCCUACACCACAGCCACAGCAGCAUGGCAUCCAACUUUCUGGGAGAAAGCUACAGGAGACAGUGGCUACAGAGCCCCAAGGUCUUUCAGACAUUCCCCUUCCUCGGAGAGGAGCUCAGCCUUCCUCCAAGUCACCUCCAGAGAGAGGUGAACAAAGAAGGAGGAGCCGCUACUUUUCUUAAGUGUGGCCUUGAGCCAGGCACUCAAUAUCCCAUAUCCCGUAAUCUCAGUGGAGCUCAAAAGAGCCUGAUAGGGAGUCCUCCCUUGGCACAGCAGGUUAAGAUCUGGCGUUGUCACUGCUCUGGCACAGGUUCAAUCCCUCGCCCGGGAACUUCCACAUGCCACAGGCGCAGCCGCCUCUGCCCCCCAAAAAAAGCCUGAUAAAAGAGGUGUAGUGUCAUCUCCUUGUGGAGGAGGAAACAGGCUCAGAGAGGUCAGUGACCAGCCCUAGGUCACACAGCUGCCAAUAACAGAGUAAGGACUCCUGGCUCUCACAUGAUUAUCAAGACUUUGGUUUACGUGGGCCCCUGUGAGCCCUCCUGGUGAAGUCCAAACGCAUCCUCAGAUGAAAGGCUCCCUGCAGAAUUAUCAACACAGGCAGCAGGGCAGACAGGGGAGGUCCCAUCCAGAGGCCACCCUGUGUGCCCAGGACAGCUAGGCCCUGUGUGGACAGCACCUGGCUGGACGAAUUACAGGCCCUCCUGGGGGCUGGGAAUUCGUGGAAGGAGGCAGAGUGGCGCAAAGUCAAAGCCACGAGGCACAUGGAAAAGGACCCCCACCUCCCCAGGCAAGGGGGGGGGUGGUGACAGGGGUGGGUAGGAGGGAGCAGAUGGCAGAGAAAAGGCCCACCCCUGGGGCGGGGGGAAUGUCCUAGAGGCCCACCUGGCUGCCUGGUGGUCACCAGAUUUCUCCUCCUCCACACCCCUCACAGUGUCACCCUCCACCCCCCCGCCCCCGCCCAGCAGCCCUCUGUUUUUGAGAACGGGCACUUCUCCCGGGUGCUGCACUUCUCACCCACUUUGUCCGAAUCUGCUUAAAGCAUAAAAGCCCCAGCCACCAGCAAGCCUUUCUAAGGACACUCAGGACUCUCUCUGGGUGAGAUUUUUACUUUUAAAGGGAAAAACUCCCUCUCUUAGCACAGGCUGUGUGUGCUGGGCGAGGGGGCAGCCAAGAGCAGCCUGGGACCUUCUCGAGUGUGGUCCAGGGGCCUGUUUGCCAACCCCAGGGCUGCGGAUCCUGGAAAGCAGGUACGAGGGAAAAUCAGGGCCGCCGCAGGUACGAAGAUGCAGAGGUGGGCCAGGCUCGGGACAACCUGGAGAUGCCCGUUCUACAGUUCAAAGACCACUGAUUUUGUCCCCACAGAAGAUCUGGUUGGGCCACCCCACCGACAUAUGCUCAGCAGAGGCAUAUUCACAGAGAAAAUGAAACUAGAAGCUCACUCGGAAGGCCUCUCAGCCGAGCAGCAGGGACAGGGUGCACGGAAGCCGUGGUGGCCAUUUGGGACAGAGGCCAAAACCGGAAACGUAGGGGUGAGCUCUGCUGUGGGGUCCGUGGCAGGCCUGGGGUGGGGUGGGGCCAACAUCCUCUGGGAGCUAAAAUGGGAGGUGAUGGAGGAAAAGGAUUUGAAGCCGGGCAAGAACCCAGGGCAGAGCAGAGUCUGAAUCGUCUCCAGAUGAUGGACCGAGGGGCCACCGUGGGUACUUCCAGAAUGAGGGAAUGCACAGGGGUGUGAUUGCAAAAGCCUAUCACAGGAGUCCCAACCUGCCAGCGCCUUCAAGGGGGGCUCUGGGGAGUGGGGAGGGAGCCAAAAUGGCACUUUCUCUCUGUGGUGGAUAGAGGGCCUCUCUCAGUCAAGAGAGCUUGUCACAGGGUCCAGGUCCCUGGCUGAGAGGUGACCAUGGUGAAUGGAGCCCGGGGACCAGAAACACUGCGCUAGGAGGCCCCACGAGGCUGAGGGAUGGUGGCCCCCUCAGGUCCACACUGACGCCAGCACUAGUCCAGGCAGCUGCUCCAGGGGGUUCCAAGAAGGGGACAGAGGGAAGCUGGCCAGGGUGCCGAGUCACCUCCCUCCAUCACCUCUAAACCUCACCGUCUCUCCCUGCCCCUUCUUAUAAUAAAUAACGACACCAAAGAACCAAUUCUGACCCACCUCCUAAUGCCCUGGCCAAGCCCACAGAGGGUACCUCGGCCAGCAAUGGCCAAUUACAGUCUGAGAAAGUCGGCCUCACUGACCGGCUCCAGGAAGGAAUUCAACUCAGCUCGCAAUUACUGAGUUCUGUCUGGGCCCGGGCCCCGGACAAGGGUAAAGCUACAAAACAGGCCACCCUUAGGAGUCUGAAGUUUGAAGGAUGAUGGUCAUUAUCAUGGUGACGGGGCAGAGGGCCAGGUGCCAGCAGGCCUACCUGCAAAUUAUGACUCCACCACCAUUCAGCUGUGUGACCUUGGGCAGAGCACUAGCCCUCUCUGAUCUCUGAUUGUCAUGAGUUGUGAAGUGGUGGCGAGGCAGAGGGGGGCAGGUAAUACUUGCCACAGAGGAUGCUGUAAGGAUCUUCGGCCCAAGACCUAAGUCAAUGGUUCUCAAAAUGUGCUCCCUGGACCAGCAGCACACAAACAUCACUUGGGAACUUAGUAGUAAUGCAGAUUCCUGGGUCCCACUGCAGACUGACUGGACCAGAGACUCUGAGUGAGACAUACAAGCCACAACCUGAGAGUACCCCAGGGAUAGGAAUUGCCAAGAGUCCUCUUCAAUCUCGAUGAAGAUGCAACCUUGCUAGGAUUUGCCUUUUGAAGGCAAAAUACUGGAGAGGAAAUACUGGACAGCGGGUAUUAAGGAGAAGGUGUUCUGUGCAACCUCCUGCCACCAGAAAACCCCGGGUCCCCCAUCCCGGGGGGCGGGAGUCUCCCCCGCGGGUGCUGGCCUGAUUCCACAGGGCAGACCACUGGGGCCCAGGUGCCUCCUCCCCCACCCCUCCCUCUUGACAGUUUCUUGUCGCCGCCCCCCUCCCAGCCCCUCUGCCCACCCACCCUGCCCCUUUGGGGGACACCAGCAUUCCCUGCGCCCUCCCUCCCAUCUUGUGGCCUGACUGGCUCUGCCGAUUCACCCUUCGUGAGUGUCAUCCGCAGAGCCUGGCACGGUCCCCCAAGGGGUUGGGCCAGAAGCCAUUAGCAGCAAUCACUGCCAUCAACAGCCAAGAAUGGACAAGUCCUUCUCAUCAGCAUCACCAUGACCCUCAACCCUGCAGAGGGGCCCGGUGACCCCUUUCACAGAUGACUGAACGGAGGCUCAGAAGGGAAGGAACAUGCCCAGCGUCACACAGGGUCACACAGCCAGCAAGAGGGAGGCCUGGAAUUUGAACGCCUGCCUGUCUAGCUCUGAGAGGGAGAGAAUUGGCCAGUGUACCUUCUUGAACUAGAAAGUCUAACACUGACGGUUUUCUGCCUGUUCUAUAUUAGUUCACUCCUGCCCAGACCUGCAGGACAAGUCCGCUAACCCCAACAGCCUCUGGACACUGGACUGGCAGAGUGCCUGGUGACUGGGGGAGGGAUACCCCUCGCUCCCCGCCACGGGCCGCCCCUGGGAUCCUCAGGGCUCCUGAGUGAGCCUUGACUUCCCUCAGUGCUCAGGAUGGCACGGGGUCAGUUCCUUUGUUCAAGGAGAGGCUGAGCCCAGGGCUGAAGCUCUGGGGACAUCGGGUUCAGGAGAGCUUUCGGUCCCUUUCCCAGCCCCUCACUGAGCCAGUGGCCUGGGUGGCCCCUCUGUCUGUGGCAUCUUGCAGAGGACUGAACCCCACAGGAGGCUCCUGGGGCAUGUGGCUUGCCCUCCACUGCAGUCCCCUCACAGGCCAAGAACAGAGCCAGGCUGGGGACACACCUCCUCGUGUGCUGACUCCACCAAGGGCUGCCAUGGUGGCAGCUCAGUGUCAUAAAGGAAGUGAAUGUGGCUUUAGAGUGGUGGGGGAGGGGCUUCAGGUGCACCUGCUGUCCUCUGGGUCCUCUCUGGCCUCCAGUUAGGUGUCCCAUCCUGCUGUCUCUGCCUACCUGGCCUUUGAGGGACCCCAGCACCCACUGCUGCUAACCUGGGUUCUGCCACUGCUCCAGUUCCCAGGUCACUGUCCACAGUCUAUCUCGCCUCUACGCCUCAGCAUCUCUGUCCCUCGGGAGACAACCAAGCUGCCACACCUUCUGUAAGAGACACGCUGGUCUCACGUGUGCACACCAAGGGCACGACCUCGGGUUCCCCUGCUUGGACACCCCUGGGUUCCCUCAGAGCUCAUGUGUCACUCUGCAACACCGCGGCCACAUCCUCAUGCUCAUCUUACAGCCGAACCUCUCCCCGCCAAGGCAGAACCCUCUCUCUUUGUCUUCCUGUCUUCUGGGAGCUUCCCUGCCAUCCUAUCCUGAAUUCUUUAUUUAUGGCUUAGAGUAAAACUCUGUGAUCAAAGUCGGAGAUACUGACUUCAUGUUUAGAGGGAAGCUUUGGAAUUUAGAAACCCUUUUUAAUCUCUUAACAAAGCCCAGCUUUCAAGACUAUUAUUUUGCCAAAAACGGAACACAAAAUAAAAAGUCGAACUUGACUGUCAAAGCUGAGCAAUGAAUUUAUUACUCCAGCAGAAACCUACCCAUUCCCUGAGGCACUUAAACCCGUUGAUUCAAUGGAUGUCACAGAGCAUCAGAUUUAAGGGCAAUUAAAAGUACAUCCAUUUUAUUUCUUAGAAUU
rnacentral:lncRNA from 1 species